GACGAACGUUGGCGGCGUGCUUAAUACAUGCAAGUCAACUGAAGCAGUGGUAGCAAUAUCGCUGUGGAGGUGGCGCACGGGUGAGUAACACGUAGGUAAUCUGCCUUCAGGUCUGGCAUAACUCCGGGAAACCGGGGCUAAUAGCAGAUGAUGCAGCGGCUCGACAUCGAGACAGUUGUUAAAGCUAUGGCGCCUGAAGAUGAGCCUGCGUCUGAUUAGCUAGUUGGCGGGGUAACGGCCCACCAAGGCAACGAUCAGUCGCUGGUCUGAGAGGAUGAUCAGCCACACUGGAACUGAGACACGGUCCAGACUCCUACGGGAGGCAGCAGUAAGGAAUAUUGCUCAAUGGGAGAAAUCCUGAAGCAGCAACGCCGCGUGAGGGACGAAGGGCUUUUGCUUGUAAACCUCUGUAGUGAGAGAAAAAAAUCCCAAUCUUUGGGACAUGAUGGUAUCUCAAAAGUAAGCCCCGGCUAACUACGUG
rnacentral:rRNA from 1 species